rnacentral:rRNA from 1 species
UACGGAGGGUGCAAGCGUUAUUCGGAAUCAUUGGGUGUAAAGCGCGUGUAGGCGGCUGGGUAAGUUAGAUGUGAAAGCUCCGGGCUUAACCUGGAAAGUGCAUUUAAAACUGCCUGGCUUGAGUCCCGUAGAGGAAGGUGGAAUUCCCAGUGUAGAGGUGAAAUUCGUAGAUAUUGGGAGGAACACCGGUGGCGAAGGCGACCUUCUGGGCGCAGACUGACGCUGAGACGCGAAAGCGUGGGGAGCAAACAGGAUUAGAUACCCGUGUAGU